rnacentral:lncRNA from 1 species
UGUUUUUUGUUUUGUGGUGGGGGUGAGGGUGGGGUGGGAGUUGAUUUCGUGAAUUAUUUGUGGGAAUAUGUGUCGAUGACAUCUCAAACAAAAUUUUGCAUGCAAUGUGUGUGAAAUGGAGGCCUAUCCAUAUCAUACAUAGAGGGUCGGGCAAUCCACGAGAAGAGAGGGAGGGGUCAUAGCUAUCGAUAGAGUCGAAGAGAGGAUCAAGUGGACGGGUGCAAGAUCGAUGAAGAGAGCCAUCGAAAUUGUGUGUGUGUGCAAGUCAAAGAUAUAGGACGACUGGCCUACCGGAAUGUUAGAGGGCACAUGUCAAAUUUGUGUGUGGCAGGGAAACAUNNNNNNNNNNNNNNNNNNNNNNNNNNNNNNNNNNNNNNNNNNNNNNNNNNNNNNNNNNNNNNNNNNNNNNNNNNNNNNNNNNNNNNNNNNNNNNNNNNNNNNNNNNNNNNNNNNNNNNNNNNNNNNNNNNNNNNNNNNNNNNNNNNNNNNNNNNNNNNNNNNNNNNNNNNNNNNNNNNNNNNNNNNNNNNNNNNNNNNNNNNNNNNNNNNNNNNNNNNNNNNNNNNNNNNNNNNNNNNNNNNNNNNNNNNNNNNNNNNNNNNNNNNNNNNNNNNNNNNNNNNNNNNNNNNNNNNNNNNNNNNNNNNNNNNNNNNNNNNNNNNNNNNNNGGUAGGCAGAGGCCUAACUAUAGAGGUAGAAUGACUCGUAUAUAUGUUGAGAAGGAGAGACCCAGCUAUGUCUUGAGGGAGAUUGGUCGACAUCCAUACAUAACUGAAGGACGGGAAAUAUGAUGGGACAGAGAGAGAGAGGAGAGAGAGAGGGAGGGAGAGGGAGGGAGAGGGAGGUAGAGGGGUAGAGUGUUGGAUGGGUGAUGGAGUUGCUUCUCGGAGAUGUUGGGAGAGGCCUACUAGACAAACUGAGGGUGGAACUGCAAUGUUAUCAAUAAGAGUGGGGAUGUGUUUCUGUGUGUGCCUGUGCAUGAUAGAUCUGUCGGGACGCAUCCAUGGAUGAUAGAGGGGAACCAUGUGUUUAGUAAGCAAACCUAACUAGAUCGAUAGAUCAAUUGUUGUUUGUCGGAGGAAGGGAGAGACACAACUAAUGAGGUAGAUCGAUCAAUGUGUGGGUAAAAAUGAGUUAUAAGGACCUAGCUGGCUAUAUGUAUAGCGAGAGAUCAGUCGGUGUACGUCCAUUUGUUAGAUGCAAAUAAGGCCCAGCGAGACGGAUAGACAGAGAGAAUGGAGCUAGGAGGUGGUGCGAGAGGCCCAACUACUAGCUAGAUAAGGGGAGGGGUGUGCGGUUGUGAGAUCGAUGAAAAGAGGGGCGAGAGUUUACACGUGUGUCUGACCAUAUGAGAGACACGAGGCAAGGACACAUAAAGGAGGAGAUUGAAGCUGUGUGUGUAUGCUGUAGGCAGGCAUCGCUAGAGAGAUUUAUCGAUCGGUGUGUGUCGGAAAGGAGUUGUGGAGACUUUGGGAGAAUGACCUAAAGAAAAAAAUGAAUGUGGCCGGUGGAUAGAAUGCUGAGGGAGGAGGAGGGCGAGGAGGGCGUGUGCAUGCACGAGAGAAAGUUAGUGGUAGCUACAAAGGUUAGAGGAUUGUGUGGGUGUAAGAGACUAACAAAGAUCAUAAUUUGAUAUGGAAGCGGAUUCAUAUAUUUGAAUAGGAGAUCAUAGUGUUUUAAACAUUGCAUGCAUGAAUAUAGCGGUGAUACAUGUGUUGUGCACAUGUUAUACCAUAAUGUGAUAAUGCAUGGCGUUUGCAACUCACAGCUAAAUGCCGAACAAUCUAAACCAUACUAUACAUCAAACAAUCUGACAUUUUAUUUGAAUUUGUGAUAAUGUGCGGCGUUUGCAGCUUACAACUAAAUAUCGAGCAAUCUAAACAAUACUAUAUAUCGAACGUUCUCACAUUUUAUUUGAAUUUGUGGUAAUGUGUGGUGUUUGCAACUCACAUCUAAAUACUUGUAGGCAUAGGGGGCGGGGCACCAUACAUAAUGUGAUAAACACAUUAUACAUAUGAGACAUGGUUUAGAUUAUGAAGAUCUAGCUAGAGCUAGAAAUGUAAUGUGAUUUGAAAUCAAAAUAAAGUGGAUUCAAAAAAUCUAGUUCAAGUUCAUAUAGUACACAUAGUUCAUAUGUAACUCGAGACUAAUCAUGUGGUGUGCUGUGAAGAUAAUACACAAACAAUGGUUUAACUUGACAAUAAUGAUGAUUGUAGAUCUUAUUAAAGCAGAGAAACGAAUUCAAAUGCUUUGACUUCACAACAAUCAUUACUGUAGAUCUUAUUCAAAUUUAGUUCAUAUUGAAGCGGUAGUAUAUACGUUUGGAAUGCACUAAAACAUUCAUUUGAGUAGUAGGUUGCAUGCAUUAUACACGAAGCAAAAUAUUUUAAUUGAACAUAACAUGAAUUCAAAGUUUUGAAUGACAUUUGUAGUGCGCAUUGAUUUGGUACAGUACACGUUAGGCUUGUCCGGAAAUUUCAAUCUGCGCCUUGUUAGCCCGAAAUAUUUAAGAUAUAUCUUUGUCUCGUUGUGCUCCGACAACUCCCUCCAUCUCAACCCGCGCCUUGCUAUUCCAAAAUUACAACACGCGCGAAAACUCCCACCUCCUGUGAAAUCCCGACACAUGAAAUGCUCGUGGUUCCCCUGAACCGAAAGAACCGCCUCAAAUCGGUGGGGGGUACUUUCGUAACUUACCCCACAUUUCGGACAAGCGCGUCUCUAAGCCAUGGUUCCCCACUGCCAUCCCAUCCGCCCACCCAUUCGUACAUCGAGGCUGCGAAAACCCGCGAUGAAACCCCACACCCUGCUCCGUCCGCCACCCAGCCGGAGCCUCUUCCCCGACAACGUCGUCCACAGCAACACCUCGACGUCCCUCAUCCACCGUACCGGAUGAGGAUCCGUCGUCGAUCUCAUCAUCCAGCCAGUUCAGCCACCCCGUCCUCCACCUCCAAGGAGCUGCCCCGAUGUUCCCCUCGUCUUUCGCGCCACCUCCAUUCCCACACUGACGUCUUCACCUGCACCACCGGAAGAGCAUCAUCAUCACCGUUUCCUCAGAUGAAGCUGCGGCCUAAUCGGCGCCACCAAAGAGUUUGUACACUAAUCGCCGCAUUUUCUUCUUGAUUCGAUCUCACGGUGCUGCCGGCGCUCGGUCCCGAGCUGACACAGCACGGCUCCAUCCACGGCGGUGUCGCCGGCCACUUCCUCCAUGGCGUCGCUCCCUCGGGGGUGACAUCCACAUCAGUAGGAGCUGCUGCUGCUUUAGCUCUCGCUCGUGCUGCUGCUCUACUCUUGCUCUCGGUCCCCUGCCUGGUCUGCUCUUGCUAUUGCUCUUGCUCGCGCUGCUGCUCUCGCUCUUGCUCUUGCUUGUGAUGCUGCUCCGAUUUGGCUACACUUGAGUCGACUGAAUCGACUUUUGGGUCAGUCGAUUUUCAAGGGGUGGGCUCAUCGGGGUGAAGGAAGAACCAGCCGUAGCAGGGAGGGAGGCUCGCCGAAGAGGUACCCCACUAUCUAUCUUAGGGUUCAGGAUGGGGGCGGUGGUCGCCGGCGGUGGCGGGGCGGUGGCGUGGGUAUCGCCGGAGAAAAAGCUCGGCACGGGGGGACCUAGAGGGAUGGCCGGGGCGGCGGCGGACCGGCGGUGGGGAGUGUUUUCGGGGCGGGCGGGGCGGCGCACCGCCGGCCACGGGCGGUGCAGGGCUGCUGUUUGGCCGGUGGUGGCUGGCGGCUCAGGGGGUGGAGGUUGAAGAUGAACCGCAGGCCCUUGAUUUCGUAUCCAAUGGCUGCAAAAUCGACUGACCAGAGAUGAAAAAGUCAGUUGAGCGACUUGUAGCCUCACCUUGCUAGUGCGUUCAGUUUCGACAGCAAAAUUCAGUUUCGACAGCAAAAUUCAGUUUCGACAGUUAGGUUCAGUUUCGACAGUUAAGUUCUAUUUUGACAGUUAAGUUCAGUUUCGACAGUUAAGUUCAUAGAUGAGCGGCUGAUGUAUUUUACAUCUAGCACUUUGUGGUUCUGUAUUUUACGUCAUGUAUUGGAGAUGCUAUUAGAAUUCCACUCAGGUUAACGUUGUUCGUUGUCUCUCUUUUCCUGCUUCGGCCUCGGCGUCGUACAACUCACCGGAGCUGCUCCAACAACGAAACCCUCCAUCACAGCGGAGCAGUACCUCGGGCUCCAUCUCCAGAUGCCUAAGAUCUUCUUCCCCUCCUCCGAUAGCAAAUUCAUCCGGAGCAUCCUCGCCGGCCAACCCAAUCACGCUGAGAUCGACAUGGCUUCGCCAAAGAGGUUGUACACUUGUUGCAUCUCUUUUUUACUCUACAUGUUAUAUAUAUUAUCCACUGAGCACACGGAUUUGUUCCUUUAGUGUCUCCUUGAAAGAAAAAAUGUAGGAAUUUUAAUUUUCACUUGUCCUCCUUUUCAAAUUCCUAUUCAUGAAGCACAAGACUAAGAGAUAGUAGCAUAAUAGCAUUAUAACCGUACAUUUUCUUGUGGUUUGACUUAAUCUCACCAUGCUUCUUUGCAUCCUGUGAUCUUCCAAUUGUUGUGAAUCAAACACCCAGAUUGGCAGAAAUCCUGUAUUUUUAAAUUCUCUGUUUUGCACGUGCAUUCCUAUCCUAUUCCUGUCUAUUUCCUAUCCCUGCAUUGUUGGAAUCCUCCAAUUCAAACGAGCCCUUACAGAAUUACUUCUCUUACAGAUAGUUGUCAAAGAAAACCUUGCGUGGUUUGUCCCGCUCCUGCUGCGCUAUCGUCCACCCCAGCUCAGCUGCUCCAACGAUAGAAGGGUCCAGCACAGCAGGGAUCCGGCCUCCAGACUGUCUUUUGCCGCCUCAGGUCUUCUUCCCCACCGCUGGCUGCCAUGAAAACUGCAUUAUCAUCAUCAACCGAGCAGAUGACCUCGAGGACUACACGGGUCCGCAAGAGAGGUCGCACUCUUUCGUGUCUGCUUACGUUAUGCAUCGCUUAAUAUUACAUGCUACUUUAUUGUCCUAUUCACUGAUUAGACUCUGAGUCAGCUCCAAACUAAUGGUCAAACUUGAGUUUUUAAAUGGUUGUGGGGUACAUAUCGGGGCCGCUAUCAAUAGUAUCUAUCUACUAUCUGGUUAAUCUCCAGUGUCUACUAUGAGUUUCAUGUUGGGUGGGAAACAAACAGUAAAGAAGCCAUUAUCUGUAUUUAUUAACUGAAGCCAUUAUCUGCCUGCUAUUAUUGGUUUUGGGUCUAUCCACAUGUUGCUACCAUCACUCUGGAUUUCUGCAUGCACUCCUUACAUAAUCUCACUAUGUUUUAUUCCUAUGCAUGACAGUUAUUGUAAACAAUGGAACUGAACAUGUAGAGCAAAAGAGACGAGCCUUGCGUGGCAAUAUAAUUUCAUGCAGACGUCCCUCCAUGGUAGGCGCAAAGGCAGCCCCCCUCCACGCAUUUCGGAUUGUAAUCGAGAGGAAGAUAUCUGUUCUGAGGGGGAUUCAGAAGGAGAAGAUAACUCCUAUUUACCCCCUGAGGUCUUCGCUCUAACUUGGCAUGCUGAUGUUGGUUAUAUCAUGCAUAUGGUGUCUUGCAUUGCUUACUUUAUACAUCAAAUAUGUCAUCUUCUUAGUUUAGACAUCCUUUGUGCGAAUGCCAUCUGUUUAGUUUAUUCAUCGUUUAUGUGAAUUAUGCAACGCCACCUUGUUUAGCCAGGCAUCAUAUAUGUGAAUUUUGCAAUGCCAUCCUGCUUAGCCAGUCAUCUUAUAUGUAAAUUAUAUCAGGCCAUCCUUUUUUCGUUACAUAUUACAUUUGUCAACAAUGUUAGUACAUUCAACUGCUCUUCGUGUGCAUCAGCCAUUUGACACGGUGAUGGCAAAUUCUGGAGUGAAAACAAGGUCUUCUGAGCAGACUAUGCUAUCUGACGAAGCGCAUAUCUCGCUGGUUACGGAUAGCUCCUCAGAGGAGGAUUNNNNNNNNNNNNNNNNNNNNNNNNNNNNNNNNNNNNNNNNNNNNNNNNNNNNNNNNNNNNNNNNNNNNNNNNNNNNNNNNNNNNNNNNNNNNNNNNNNNNNNNNNNNNNNNNNNNNNNNNNNNNNNNNNNNNNNNNNNNNNNNNNNNNNNNNNNNNNNNNNNNNNNNNNNNNNNNNNNNNNNNNNNNNNNNNNNNNNNNNNNNNNNNNNNNNNNNNNNNNNNNNNNNNNNNNNNNNNNNNNNNNNNNNNNNNNNNNNNNNNNNNNNNNNNNNNNNNNNNNNNNNNNNNNNNNNNNNNNNNNNNNNNNNNNNNNNNNNNNNNNNNNNNNNNNAGAGGAGGAUUCAGAGAUAGAUGACCAGUCCUAUCCCCCCCCCCCCCGAGGUGUAUGCUCUAACUUGGCAGGGUUAUGUUGCUCAUAUCGUGCGUAUGGUGUCUCGCAUUGCUAUGCCAUUUGAUUAGUUUAGACAUGCUUUGUGUGAAUGCCACCUGUUCAGUGUCUAAUUACCAUAUAUGUGAAUUAUGCAUUGCCAUCUUGUUGCAAGACAUUAUAUAUGUGAAUUAUACAAUGCUAUCUUGUUGCAAAGGCAUUAUAUAUGUGAAUUAUGCAAUGCCAUGAUGUUUAGCCAAUCAUCAUGUAUGUGAAUUAUAUCAUGCUAUCAUUUUUUUGUAUUACGUGUUCCAUUUGUCGACAACGUUUGUAUAUUCAACUACUCUUCAUGUGCAUCAGCCAUUUGAAGCGGUGAUGGAAGUAUCUGGAGUGAAAACAAGGUAUUCAGAGCAGACAAUGCUACCUGCUUAAGCACACAUCUUGCUGGCUACAGAGAGCUCCUCAGAGGAGGAUUCAGAGACUGAUGACCAGUCCUAUUUCCCCCCUAAGGUCUAUGCUCAAACUUGGCAGGGUUAUAUUACCCAUGUCAUGCAUGUUGUCUUGCAUUGCUUAGUUUUUACAUCAUAUAUAGAUUGCCAUCUGCUUACUUGCUUACGAUAUAAAUCAUAUAUUUGAAUUAUAUCAUGCCAUAAUGUUUACAUAGUACAUACAUAUCAUCUAUCUGAAUUAUGGCAUGGCAACCCAUUUAAUAAAGACAUCAUAUAGUUAUAUCAUCUCAUCAUGUUUAGUGUUUACAGUCAUCAUAUUUAGAAUUAUGGCAUUUUAUCCAUGAAUGUAUGUGAAUUAUGGCAUGCCAACCUAUUUAAUAAACACAUUAUAUAGUUAUGCCAUGUCAUCUUGUUUACAUAAUCUCAUAUUUUGAACUAUGUCUUUCCAUCUUUUUUAGUUAGCCAUCAUAAUGUGAAAUUGUGUCAUGCUAUCCUGUUUAGUUAGCCAUCAUAUAUGUGAAAUUGUGUCAUGCUAUCCUGUUUGGUUAGACAACAUAAAUAUGAAUUAUUUCAUGCCCUCUUUUAUUCCCCACUAUCCAUUGCACUUGUCUAUCAUACAUUGUCUAUACUUUCAAUUACUUUUCUUGUUUAUCAGCCAUUUGAAUUGGAGAGCGUGAUGGCAGUAUCUAAGGGAGUAACAACACGGUCUUCGGAAAAGAUAGUGCUACUAGUUGAUGCAGAUAGAACCACGGUUGUACUUGCCCAAGGACCAGAUCCACCACACAUAACCCAGACUCUCGCAGAUUGUACCCCUACCCAGUUGGACAGAGAACCAGCUAGACCCCUUCUAACCCCAACCCCGGCAGAUAGUAACCCAGUUCCAGUUGACACAGCACCGUGUCCACCACAGAGCACCCAAACACGAGCGGUUAGUAAGGGAACUGCAGUGCCCAAAGCACGAGGACCACCACUCCGAAUCCCAACUCAAGCUUAAAGGAGAAGAAGAUCUGUUCUCAGGUCAGGUUCUGUAGCUAUGGUUCAUACUCCUUUGCUCUUGCAUUACUGUAUUUACUCAUACCAACUAUUUUCAAAUUUGAAGGAUGGAAUUGAAACUCCAAUGGUGCAACAGGUAUGUUUUAAACCUGUUUCUUUAACUGGUUUGCUGUUGUAACCUGCUCUAUGUUGAUUUCAGUUUCAGUUGAAUAAACAGUUAUGUUCUCAUGUCAUGCACAUUACAAGUGUUGUUAUUGCUCUAUAGUUACCCACGCUUAUAUUCUGUCUAUUCUGCUUUGUCUUGAACAAAUAUUAUUUGAACUGUGUCUCUAUCUUGAUUUGGCAACAAAAACUAGAAUGAUAUAGACCAUAAAGUGACCAUGGUACAUAGAUAUAUGUUUGUUUCAUGUUGUUAUCCUGUCCACUUUACUACUAAACUCAUUUACCAAAAUUAGUUUCAUAUACAACAUGGUAAACAUGUGAUGUGUCUGCUUGUUUCUCUUAGAAUGCGGACAAAAUAUUGGAGAAUAGUACCGCGUUAUCCAAUGGUAAAGGAAGUAAUGCAGAUAAGGUUCAAGAUAGUGAGACAUCCCUGUUGGUCUCCAAGAAAGCUGAUAAAAACUAUCUUGACGAUAGUGAGGGAACCCAAAAGUCCUGUCUUGAUGUAGUGUUCGAGUUACUGGCCACUACUGCUGGCACAAGCUCUUCAAACUCGCUGUCUGAAUCAGCUCGUCUUCUUGAAUCUCAACUUCAAGUUGAAAGACAUCGAUCAGAUGUGCUACGACAGGAAGCUGAAGGACUGAGGAAGUCCCUGCAGAAUUCAAAUGCAUAUUUUUUGGUGCAACAGCAAGCGCUGGAGGAUUUAAGCGCCAAACAAGAGAAAGUUAAUAAGCUUGCUAAGCAUCUUGCCAGCAUUAUGGGUACCCAGGAUAUUGUUUCUUGAGAUCUUCUGAAGUGGUUUCAGUUCUCGAUUUGUUUUGCUGCGGCGUUUAUUUGCGCUGGUCGCCAACUUUGACAACCAGUGUAUAUGAUAUGCUGCUUUGUUCCCUAUAUUUGCACUGGUGGCGAACUUUGAUGCCCAGUGGAUGUAAUAUGUGUAACAGCCGUGAUAGCCUAGCAUAAGUUGCUUGCUUAUUUAUUUCCUUGUUAUCUUGUUUAUUUGUUUGCUUGUAGUCAGUGUAGUUCUUUUUAAAACUAGGCCACAAUAACCAUGGGCUAAUAUUUACUGUAGUGACACUGGGCCUCCUACGGGCCGUAGAAACAGUGGGCCUUCUACGGGCCGUAGAAACAGUAGGCCUUCUACGGGCCAUAGAAACAAUGGGCCUUCUACGGGCCGUAGAAACAAUGGGCCUUCUACGGGUCGUAUCAUCAAUGGGCCUUAUACGGGUCGUAUCAUCAAUGGGCCUUAUACGGGUCAUAUGACCAUAACGGGCCAUCGUUAAUAGGCCGUAUUUGAUGACGCUAUGAAAACGGCCCAACGUAUUAAUGGACCACAAACGGGCCAAUGUAACCACGGGCUGAAUUUGGCCCUCAAGCAGAAAAUGAUAGUAACGGGUCGUAAGUAAAUGAAUGUUGGAAAUGAGCCGAAGAAUAAAUGGGCUCUAAGAAGGCCGAAAGAUAACAUUUGCUGGAAACGGACCAACUGAAUAACGGGCCUUUAAUGGGUAUGAAGUGAUAUACUGUUCAUUACGGGCCAGUUUCACCCGGGCCGUUAAUGGGUGUAAAGUGAUACACUGUUCGUUGCGGGCCAGUUUCACCACGGGCCGUUAAUAGGCCAAGAGUUACAUAGGGCCUCAUAUGGGCUGAAAGAUGUCACGGGCCAUACAUGGGCCAGAAGUGAAAACGGGCUAGAAUCAUAUUGGAUGGCCCAGAUGACGCUAUUGGGCCUAAUUCGGAUAGGGCGUAACGGGCCUUGGGUUAGCGGGCUGUAAAUGGGCUAUAUGCAAACAAGUCGUUAACAGGCUUUCCAUGGGCCGGCCCGCCACCUUUUUACCAAGUCAAACGGCCGGCCUUUUCACAGGAAUGGGCCUCUGUUGGGCCGUGCCACGUGUUGACGUAUCAUAGGUGCCUUCUGUCCAAUGAGUGGAUGACAUCUGUCCCAACAGUGAGCCAACACGUGUUUCCUCCAGCCAAUGAUGAUUUUACACAUGGAAAAUCCCCAUUGGUCGGCGCUGUUAACGGGUUAUCGGAUCCAAAACCCGACCCGGUAGCUUAACGACGUUCCGUUACGGUGGAUGCCACGUGUCGGUCACCCUUGACGAAAGCACUUCUGUGACGCGCAAUUUAUCGUCAUGGAAGUGGACACUUCCGUGAUGAUAAUUUUGGUAAUGUCAUGGAACACUUCUACGACAGCACAGGUAUGACUAUCUUCAUUCUGUCAUAAAAUCAUCAUGGAUGUACAUGCAUGACAAAAAACGCGACCUACUGUGACAAACAUGUAUCAUCACGGAAGUGUAUUUUUUUGUAGUGUCGUCUUUUGAUCCCACGUGGAUCUGUGGGUUGCCAAUCUUCGUGAGGAGUCGCAUGCUACCAGGCAUGUGCUCUUCAAAUUUUGGUCUUUAACAUUGUCGAUGGUGUUGGAGAUCUCAACCCCAAGGGUAGGGGCCUUGCUGGCCUCUUCGCAAGCUGCCCCGACAAGGGCUUGCUGGGGCUAGGGGCCUCGUAGGUCGCCUCGGCAAGGCUUGUUGCCAGGCGUGGCCUUGCUUGCCUCUUGCUACUUGCUACUCUAGGCAGCUGUCUUGAUGUCCUUUGUUCUUGUCUCCUAUUGUCUUCCUCUGCCUUGCCAUGCCCUGUUGUAGGGGUGGCUGCGACCGUCCGUGCACAAGUAAGGGGUACAGAAGCACCCAUACUUGUGUACACCGACAGUGUGUUAAUCACAUAGCCAUGUGAACUAGAUUAUUGCCUCUAGUAAACCAUUUGGGUGUUGGUCACAUGGCAAUGUGAACUAUGGGUGUUAUUCACAUAAAGAUGUGAACUAUUGGUGUCAAAUCACAUGGCGAUGUGAACUAGAUUAUUGACUCUAGUGCAAGUGGGAGACUUAAGGAAAUAAUCCCUAGAGGCAAUAAUAAAGUUGUUAUUUUCUAUUUCCUUAUUCCAUGAUAAAUGUUUAUUAUUCAUGCUAGAAUUGUAUUAACCAGAAACUUGAUACAUGUGUGGAUACAUAGACAAAAUAUUGUGUCCCUAGUAAGCCUCUAGUAGACUAACUCGUUGAUCAAAGAUGGUUAAGUUUCCUAACCAUAGGCAUGUGUUGUCAUUUCAUAAACGGGGUCACAUCAUUAGGAGAAUGAUGUGAUGGACAAGACCCAUUUGUUAGCUUAGCAUUAUGAUCGUUCAGUUUUACUGAUAUUGCUUUCUUCAUGUCAAAUACAUAUUCCUUCGACUAUGAGAUUAUGCAACUCCUGGAUACCAGAGGAAUGCCUUAUGUGCUAUCAAAGGUGACAACGUAAAUGGAUGAUUAUAAAGAUGCUCUACAAGUAUCUUCGAAGGUGUUUGUUGGGUUGGCAUAGAUCGAGAUUAGGAUUUGUCAUUCCGAGUAUUGGAGAGGUAUCUCUGGGCCCUCUUGGUAAUACACAUCAUAAGAAGCCUUGCAAGCAAAGUGACUAAUGAGUUAGUUACAGGAUGAUGUAUUACGGAACGUGUAAAGAGACUUGCCAGUAACGAGAUUGAACUAGGUAUGAAGAUACCGACGAUUGAAUCUCGGGCAAGUAACGUACCGAUGGACAAAGGGAAUAACGUAUGUUGUCAUAACGGUUCGACCGAUAAAGAUCUUCGUAGAAUAUGUGGGAGCCAAUAUGACCAUCCAGGUUCCACUAUUGAUUAUUGACCGGAGAGGUGUCUCGGUCAUGUCUACAUAGUUCUCGAACCCGUAGGGUCCGCACGCUUAACGUUCGAUGAUGAUAUUGUAUUAUAUGAGUUAUGUGAUUUGGUGAUCGAAUGUUGUUUGGAGUCCCAAAUGAGAUCAUGUACAUGAAGAGGAGUCUCGAAAUGGUUGAGAGGUAAAGAUUGAUAUAUAGCACGAUAGUAUUCAGACACCGGAAGUGUUCCGGAGGGUACCGGGUACAUAUCAAAGUGCCGCAGGGGUUACCGGAACCCCUGGGGAGAAGAUAUGGGCCAUAUGGACCAUGAGAGGGGAGCACACCAGCCCACAAGGGGUGGCGCGCCCCCCUUAGGCAUGUGGCCGAAUUGGAGAAGGAAAAAGGGGGGUUCGGCCCCCCUUCCUUUCUCUCUUCCCCCUUCCCUUUCUUCUCCGAUGGAAAAAGGAAAGGGAGGGCACCACUUGGGGAAACCCCAAGUUGGAUUUGGAUUCUACUUGGGGCAACCCCUGGCUGCCUCUCCUCCCCUCCCACCUAUAUAUAUGUGGGGAGGGGGGCUCUUAGAACACACAACAUCAAUUGUUAGCCGUGUGUGGCGCCCCCCUUCACUGUUUACACCCCGGUCAUAUUCUCGCGGUGCUUAGGCGAAGCGCUACGCGGAUCACUUCACCAUCACCGUCGCCACGCUAUCGUGUUGAUGGAACUCAUCUACUUCCUCGACACCUUGCUGGAUCAAGAGGACGAGGGACGUCAUCGAGUUAAAUGUGUGCAGAACUCGGAGGUGUUGUAUGUUCGGUACUUGAUCGGUCGGAGCUAGAAGAAGUUCGACUACAUCAACCGCGUACGGUCUACGAGGUAUGUAGACACACUCUCUCCCCCUCAUUGUUAUGCGUCUCCUAGAUAGAUCUUGCGUGAGCGUAGGAAUUUUUUUGAAAUUGCGUGCUACAUUCCCCAACAGUGUAUUACUGAGAGGCCCAGAAAUACCUCUUCGAUACUUGGAGUGACAAAUCCUAAUCUCAAUCUAUGCCAACUCAACAAACACCUUCAAAGAUACCUGUAGAGCAUCUUUAUGACCACCCAGUUACGUUGUGAUGUUUGAUAACACACAAGGUAUUUCUCUGGUAUCCGGGAGUCGCAUAAUCUCAUAGUCGAAGGAAUAUGUAUUUGUCAUUAAGAAAUCAAUAGCAAUAAACUGGACGAUCGAUAUGCUAAGCUAACGGAUGGGUCUUGUCCAUCACAUCAUUCUUCUAAUGAUGUGACCCCGUUAUCAAAUGACAACACAUGUCCAUGGUUAGGAAACCUUAACCAUUUUUUAUCAACGAGCUAGUCUAGUAGAGGCUUACUAGGGACACAGUAUUUGUUUAUGUAUUCACACAUGUAUUUAAGUUUCCGAUCAAUACAAUUCUAUCAUGAAUAAUAAACGUUUAUCAUGAAUAAGGAAAUAUAAAAUAACAACUUUAUUAUUGCCUCUAGGGCAUAUUUCCUUCAAUAAUUGCAUGUCAAAAUUGUUGAGUUAGUGGGGGUCAAAUAUUUAGGCAUAUAGGAUUUUUUUGUGGGGGUUUCGACUAGUUGUGCAUGUUAUUUACGAAAAUAUUUUAUUCGAAGGUCGAUUCAAUGAAACAAACGUAAGUCAAUUCUUCUUUGAGUCGAUCAGAUAAGAAUAUCGAAAGACUAGAGUAUGCAAUUAUGCUCUUUGAGCUUACAUGCACUCGAGUGAUCGACAAAUUAAAAAAAUGUUCCAAGAAAACCUAUUCUACCAGGACAAAAAGAAAUCUAGAAGUUUAGAUAACAAAUCCAAAAGGUAGACUCUAGUGUAUGGUUCAUGCAUACUAUAAUAUCAAUAAGUUGUUAGUUUUUUAUUUUUGAUCUACUAGGGAUCGAGUGGUUCAUGUAGUUGGUUUAGAAAGAUGUGGAUUGUUUGUUUGCUACUAGAUUUGCACUUGGGUCAUGGGCUUGUUUUUGUUCAUAUUUGUUCUAACUACAUUUGUGGCAUGCCUUAAUUAUGUUGGAUUUCCCCAACCCAUUGGUAGCUUCUUUUAUGGGACCUCGUCAAGAGGGAAGGUUGCUCUUAUGAUUUCAUUAUAGAAAGACGGUUGGCCUGAUUUAUACAAAAAAAGGGUCAAAAAUCACACAAUGACAUGGUUAACUAUGGGACAACCAUGCAAAAAAACGUCGAUGAACAUGAGCAACCCCUAACCAAAACUUGGCUCCACCACUAAACACAAACCAAACACCAUGGGUUAAAGAGAACCAAGGAAGGAGUGAAGAAGACCUUUGACAACACCUACAUGGAGUAAAUAGAGCCUUCUAAUAAAUUUUUCAUUACAUGUAUUUUUCAAAAACUUUUAUGCAUUUCUUAUGCUUGCAAUAAAUUUCGGUUGAUUUUAUUUAAUCAAAGAUGUGUCUUGCAUGUGCACAAGUACUAGUAAAAAUAACCAAGUACUAAUCAAAAAAUAGCUAAGCCACCACCUUUCGAUAUUCAUAGUAACAAUGAAAAAAUUAUAAGCCCUAGUCAUCUUUCAAUCUUUUUGACAUGUCUAAUCUCACACCAUACAAACUAGCCCCUGGUCGACAGUUCCGAGCACAUAACAAUUGUUUCAUACACUUUCUUUGGCUACCGAUUUAGUUUAGGUAUUUUUCUUAUUUUGGUUCUCACACAGAUAUCCAACCUCUUUGUAUAUUUUUCAUGAGCUUUUUACUAUAUUUAUUCAAUUGAUUUCAUGUCCAAAUUUUCACAAUAAAAGAAAACUCUUCUAGAAACUAUUAUUUCUUUUGUGUCAUGUAUAGUUGUGCAAGAUAAGUGCAUAUUACACCAUGUACUAUAACCUAGGUUUAACUUUAACAUUGAGUUCUAAAAACGUUUAUGAACUGCUCUCAAAUUUGUUGUUAAAUAUUAUAAAUCCAGGAUAGUUAUCAUACAGUUAUGUUGUCUAUAGUUUAAUUACAAGUUUUACAAUCAUGUGAGUAGAGUUGUAUUUUUGCGAUGAGAGUUGUGUUAGUAUCAAGUUUUUCUUAGAAGUUUAAAACAUCCCUUCUUAGAAAGGAAAUGGAAAAAUCAGAACCACAAUAUUGUCCACAAACUAAACCAGGUGAAAUAGAAAGGCUAUAGCGUGUCUUUAUGUGUGCGUGCAUACGUGUGCACUUUUAUAAUAACUAGAGAUAUAUCCUAAUGACUAUGAGUUCAGUGACUAUCCUCGUAGAGAUAUGUAAGGGACGAUUAUAUGGCUUAGGUGCUUUCAAAUAGAGAGUUCUUGAGCGUAUGAGGUGUUGAGAAGUGGUCUAUCCACGAAUUCUUUCCUCAUGUCAUUUUUCUAGAAACACUGAAUACAACAUGUAUGCAAGCACACCCAUUCAUAACACCACACAUAUGCACUCCUCUAAUUCCAUAGAACACACGAUAUGUCAGGCUUGAAGAUCGAUGAAGUCAUGGCAAGUGUCUCGUUGUCGAUGAGUGCGUCUCUUAUUACUAAAGAAAUAGUCCAGCUUGGCAAGACAUGCAUAAUAUUAACUCUAAUAAUUUUAGGCUGAUUUGGCAUUACAUUGCAUUAUGAUAAUCUUGUUUCUUCAACUAGCAUCACAUAUUUCCAUUUUAAAUAAUUUUUUAUGCUCUCAAAUCAAUUUUCACAACAAAUUAGGUCAUUUCCCCACUGAAGUUAGGUGUCUAACCUGUAUGAUGUCUUGUGCUUUGGCAUCGUCAGGUUCCACUUCCGACCGCAAGGAUGCCAACCUCAGUUGCACCACAUAGCCUCUACACAGAUUUACACAAUGAUAUACAUCUUCAUAGUUGGUGAGCAGGUGAGAGCUUAACAAAGCUCCUCAAAGACCUUUAGUUUACAAAUACAAUGGGGUGGGCGCCUUGUUGGAUUCCAAGUAUGUUAUUGUUGUUUAAUUAAUUUGUACUUGUGAAAAUAUGAAACCAGACGUGUUUUGUGAUGUAUCCAAGGUCAACCAAAGAUAAUCUAACAUGCAUUUUGAGUUCUGAUGUUAGUAUUCAUAUCUGGGGCAUGGCAAUUUUAUUCUCAUUUUUCUCUUUAUAGAGUACUUAUUUAUUUCAUGCAGGUUAAGAAUUUUCAUAUGUGUAUGGUUUCAUUUCAGAAAAAAAUCGGACGGCGGCGUGUAGGGCAUCUUCUACUUAUUAAGAAAAAGUGUGGGUAGGAGAUAGCAUAUAGUGUAUUUGAAAAAUAUAUGCUACCUUAGAUAUGAAGAAUCCACCUCCUAACUACAUGAAAACAAACACAUCUCCAUUAUUUAUAUUCUUUCAAAUCAGUAAAUAUUCUACGUGACUAUGACAAGAAAAAAGCUAGUGUCACCCUUUCAUCAGUUCAACAUAUCGAAAUAUUUUUUGUUACAUAUAAUACAUAUGUAGCUAGUUAAAUUGAUGAUCUAGAACUUGCCGAGACGGAGGGAGUAGAAGUUCAAGCAUGUCAUGAGUAAUGUCAUGAACAUUUGUGUAGGGUAUAGUUACGAAGCACUUGAACUUUUGUGCAAAGUAUAGUUAGGAAGCACUUAUUAGGAAGAAAUUUUAUUUUAGUAUAUCAAGAAGCAAUCUUCAAGUACUACGGAAGGAGCAGUAGUGAUGCAUACAAUCUAAGAUGCACACAUGAUUAGGACAUGGAUUUUCUGUUCCUGAGCUUAAAUACACCUGCAUGAAUAUUAAAAUCCAAAAAAUAGCAGAGAAAUUAAAAAAAACUAUUUUUUUGUCGAUGAACAUCAAUAUAUGUUCCAGCAUCCUGUACCGCUUGGUAUGAGCGGUUCGCUAUCUCAAAAAGCAAUCAACAACUGAUGUCCUAACAUCCUAUACAAUUUCACCUAAAAAGACAUCCUUGGAGGCCUAUAUGAAAAACAAAAUUUGGGACUAAAAAUGUGCACUUGGAGCACUCUUUUUGUUUGGCACAGAUCACUAUGGAUGUCUUUUCGUGGCAAAUUUUUAUAGGAUUUAGAACACUUGUUGAUGUUCAUCCACAAUUUUUUUAUUUUUUCUACACUUUUUUGGAAUUUACUGUUCAUGCAGUGCAUUUGUGUUUGGGAUUCGAGUAGCACUUUCGACAUAAUAGAUACAUGUAUUUCUAAAUAUGGGGAGAACUAUUGUACUCCCUCCGUUUUUAUUUACUCUGCAUAUUAGCUUUGGUCAAAGUCAAACUUUGUAAAGUUUGACAAAGUUUUUAGACAAAAAUAUUAACAUAUACAAUAACAAAUCAAUCACAUUAGAUUCAUUGUUGAAUACACUUUCACAUCGUAUAGAUUUGCUAUUGUAAAUGUUCAUACUUUUUUCUAUAAAGUUGGUCAAAGUUUAUGAACUUUGACUUCAGUCAAACCUGAUAUGCAGAGUAAAUAAAAACAGAGGGAGUACUUUAUUUGACUACCGUGUUUGCAGGAAUUUCAUUGUAAUGACAUAUUAUUUGUUGUAAUGACGUGCAACUAUUGUUCUUUACGUUGAAAUACCUGGCGAAUUGCUUUUUUCUCUCCAAAUACUUGCUGCAAUUUAAUUCUUUAUGUUGAAAUACUUGCUGAAUUGAUUCUUCCUCUCCAAAUACUUGUUGAAAUUUAAUUAUUUAUGUUGAAAUACUUGCUAAAUUUCUUCUUUCUCUCCAAAUACUUGCUGCAUUUAAUUAUUUAAGUUGAAUUACUUGCUGAUUUGGUUCUUUAUAGAUUCUAAAUACUUACUGGAAUUGUAGGAUAUGGCUGCUAGUCAAAUUUCAUGGACACCUACCAUGUCAUCAUACAUGCUAGCCCACCUAUGUGGUUUGGUGACUGGUGGCCAUAGACCGGGUACCUCCUUCAAGACUGUCCACUCGAACGGUUGUGUCGCUGCUAUGAAUGAACAGUUUCAGUGCACCGAGUUGAUUGGAACCCACAUCACAAAUCAUACAAGGACAUGGAAGAGGAAGUAUAAACAGAUAGUGCACCUCAAAUCAACAGAUAGUGCACCUCAAAUCAUUGAGUAGUGCACUUUGGGAUGAAGAUAACUUUCUGAUUGUUCUUGAUCAUGAGCAUUACACAAAGCACAUUAAGGUAUCUAUUUUACUGCCUUUUAGUACUUGUUGAGUUUGGUUCCUUGUGUGCAAAUACUUGCUGAAAUGGUUUCUUUCAUGCAUUAUCACUUGCUAAAAUUCAUUCUUUCAUGCAUUAUAACUUGUUGAAAUUUAUUUGUACUCUCAUUCCUUGCUGAAAUUAUUACUUUUGUUUAUAAAGGACCACAAAGAAGAUGAACCCUGCCUUAACAUGCCUAUUAAACAUUAUGAGAAGAUGAUGAUUAUCAUUGGAGCCGGCAUGGCUACGAGGCAAUAUGCAAAAGGCUCAAGUGGCCCUUUAGCUACAAAGUUGACUGGUCUUGAAGAAAAGAAACCAAAAAAAGUUGUUGCCCCGCAUGGAGAGGUUGCCGAUUCACCCACUUGUGAUGAGUCAGCUGCUCCCAAGUUCAAAAAAAGUCAAAACUAAUCCUUCUACAGAAGAUAGGAUGCAUGCAACCAUAAUGGCUUCAAGUGAAAGGCUUGUUGUUGCCAAAGAGAAACUUGCUAGCAGCGCCAACCCUACCAUUGAUGGCCUUUGGGAUGAGAUGAAAGAUCUCCCAGGUUUUGAUGUGGAUUCCCUUGCUCAUUAUUAUGCCUAUUUGGUUGACAAUCCUCAUGUUGCAACGACAUUCAAGGUCUUGGGGGAUGUUCAAAGAAAGGUUUGGGUCUCUAGGUAUGUGAAGAGUACCUUUCCUGAAGCCGAAGCAUGAUGAGUUUAUAUGAGUGUUUAAUUUAUGCUUUUGAUGACAAGCAAAACAAUGGAGAUAUGGGUUGUAUGGACUUGUUCUUUUGAUUAUAACCAAAACAUUGAACUAUGCAUGGGUUGUAUAACUAUAGAUUUGAUCUAGUAUUCUAUGGAAUGUUGAACUAUGAGCUCUAUGCACUUGUGUUAUAUAUUAUGGAAAUCUUUAACUAUGAUAUGUAUUGAAGAUAAAGUUUAGCUUGUACUACUGAUGAUUUUGUUUGGGUAUGAUGUUCAAGUUUCUAAAAAUGUUCUUAUAAUUACUAUUGUACAUAUCAUAUUCGAUUGUCUUAUAUUGAAAGAUGGCUAACCUCACCCACCAACCAAACAGAAAAAUGGCUAUCCCCAACCAUGAUUCAUCCUUAAAACCAAACAAAACAUGGGCUAACCUCAUCCGUCUAACCAAACAGAAAAAUGGCUAUCCCUAUCCAGCAGGAUGGGGAUGCCCAUAUCCAGCCCAGCAUGUGCCCUCUAACCAAACGCAUCCUAAAGUACUUGUGUGUGGAAGAUAAUUAGGACAUACAUAAUUAGGCCAUACUAUAAAACAUAUUAUGAGAGAGUCAAAGCAUUAUGAGAAGGGCGAAGUGAAUAGAGAGGAUCCAACAGUUCACGAGACCUGAAUCGGGCGACUGCGCGGUGACUGGCGGAAAUUUUGGCCGGCCGGCCAGCACCUAGCAUGACUCUUUUUCAUAUACGAAUGGAAACAUUGUUUUUUGUGUGAUACGAAACACUUCCAAUCAAUGGAGAAAUUCGUUGCCCUGCCGAAACAAUUUCCUAUGCUAUGGAAGCAUCCACAACAUAGCGACAUGGCGCAGUCAACCUGGGUGCGAGGCGGCAUAGGUGGUCGUCGGCCUAGCCACCAAGUGAAGUUGCCAUAGCGCGGUGGCGAGGCAGCUUACGGGGUCGUCGAUAGGGUCACAAGCCUGGUCGAGCAUGAAGACGAGGCAACGGAGCCGCUCGUCUUCGGGGCAGCAUGGUGAGGCUACCCGAGCACCAUAUCGACCACUAUAUAAUCAAUCAUGUGGUGGUAUAAUCAAUCAUGCUUUGCUUGUGAUGGACUCAGACGUCCAAUACAAAAUGUUCCCUUCUUAAUGAAAAAGGCAGCGCUCCUGGCGGUUCCUCGAAAAAAGAAGUCCUUUCUUGUGAGGGGUUCAGAUGUCAGACUAGGUGUGCAAACUUAUUUGAUGAGAAUUUGGCCAGUUCAAUGAAAUCGUGUGAUAGCAAGUAUAAUUAAGGGUGUCCCUUAGAAAACAUAUAAUUAAGGUGUAUAUCCUACUUACAUGCCACUUGUGUCAAGGAGAGAGACAAGAAAGAAAUGAAAGGAGUUGGUUCUCAUACAUGAACAAACCAAAGCAAACACAGUGCAUUUGGUUCAGGGGGGUUAGAGGUGGGGAAUGGGAGUUACAGAAAAAGGCUUUCCCCCCGCUUUGUAUUUCAAAGCACCAACACCGAUACAGGAUCGCUGGGGCGAACAGCACAUCAAGCCCAAAAGAAAAAGAAGAAGAAACAAAUGCCAGCAACGGUAGCUAGACAAAGCGCGGAUGACCUGCCACUGCUACGCGCUCCAGAGACACACCACCACAACCCGAGGCUCCGAACCGCCGCGUACCAAGCAGCACCUCCAAGAAGGAAUACGACGCCGACGACACUGCUGCCCAGACAAGUCCUAGAGUUUCCCCUGGCACGCGGAGGGAGGUGGGGGAUGGAUAUCACUGACACCCUCCAGGAAGGAAUGGUGGAACCCACAGGUGUCGCCGCAUCGGAGCCGAAGACCCGGCAAGGAUUUCUCCCGCACUCCAACCCCACCGCCCAACGGACCGGAGCCGACCAGCCAGACCGCCGCCCACCACCAUGCGUCAUCGCGGUUGCGCCGCCACCCACGCCGCCUCACUUCGGACACCAACACGAGGCCAAGAGGGCCGGAGAGAAGCGCCCCGCGGAGGGAGAAGCAACACCGAAGCCGAACGGGAGGGAACCACCUCCACCGCCGUCGUGCGGGGGGCCAAAACCUCCGGCACCGUCUCGGUAGCCGUCCGGACGCGGCAGCAGGGAAUGCCAGGCCACCCCUGGCCCGGUCAGGCCCGAAACGGGGCCGCUAAGCCCCGCCGCCACGCUGCAGCAGGCCGGCGAUGGCGCCGCCAGCGCCCUGCCACUCUUCGCCUCUCCCCCGCCUCCUGGAGGACGCGCCGCAGACGAACCCCACCGCCAGCCCGCCCGGUCCCAGAUCUGGGCCGAGCGGGCGCCGCCAGGCCGNNNNNNNNNNNNNNNNNNNNNNNNNNNNNNNNNNNNNNNNNNNNNNNNNNNNNNNNNNNNNNNNNNNNNNNNNNNNNNNNNNNNNNNNNNNNNNNNNNNNNNNNNNNNNNNNNNNNNNNNNNNNNNNNNNNNNNNNNNNNNNNNNNNNNNNNNNNNNNNNNNNNNNNNNNNNNNNNNNNNNNNNNNNNNNNNNNNNNNNNNNNNNNNNNNNNNNNNNNNNNNNNNNNNNNNNNNNNNNNNNNNNNNNNNNNNNNNNNNNNNNNNNNNNNNNNNNNNNNNNNNNNNNNNNNNNNNNNNNNNNNNNNNNNNNNNNNNNNNNNNNNNNGUCCCGCACCAGAGGAGAGCCGAGAGGGGAAUUGCGAGGGGGCCGCCGCGCCAGCGUCGCCUGGGCCAGGCCCGGCGGCGAGCGCCAACGACGGCGGCGAGGAGGGACGGAGGAAGGAGGGGGGCUGGAGAAGAGGGUCACGGCGCGGCCGGUCACCCGCGGGGGCGACGCGGUCGCGAGAGCCGCGAGGGGGUUUCACCAACCGCACAUGACUGGAUGAUACCCCAGGAAUGAGAGUUGAGGGGUGACAAGAUUAAAAGUCCAUUAUUUGAUUAGAGGGAAUGGGAGUUUAAGUAGGAAGGGGAAUGAAAGUUGAGGAAGUCAAUUCCCAUCUAUCCAUAAACACCCUAAUGCAAACUCCCGUUCUCAUGCCCAAGUAAAUGCAAUUAAGAAAAGGAUAAAGAUGAUUGAAAGUAUGGCCAUCCUAAUAUCCAAUCUUAUAGCCAAUCCAUAGUAUGAGUAUUUGCCAAUAAUGACUCUGGAUGACAUGACAACAAUGUAUAACCAUGUGUUAGCUAUAUAUAAUCACUAAUCAAUCAUGCUCUAUGUCAGGUAUGAAUACGCAAGUACGUAUCAGUUAAUAGCACAGAGAUUUACACGCGAUAAGUGCAACUCCAACUCCAAUGCACACUAUCCCGCUCCGCAUCGUCCAAAAUACCUAUUUCUGCCAAGAAUAGACAGGCCAAAUUUACGGACUCGGCAACUGAGGAUGUAGGGAGUCAAAUUAGUGUCCAAAGAAGCACAUGGUAAUGAAAUUAUUUCAACAAUCCAGGUAAACAUAUCUAUUGUACCAAAGCAGCCUACAAUAUUACAUACCAAUGACUGGCUGAUAAUAAGCCACAGCAAUAGCUAAUACAAUGGAACCAUAAAGAAGAUCCACACAUGAAUAACAAGCUCGCGGAUCAUAUCAACUGCACAAUCAAGUUCGUCGCAGCGAUACAAAUGACACAUGUAGCAAUCGCUAGAUAACAACCCGUCCAUAGUUUUACAAAUGAUCAAGAAAAUAAAAUAAAGGCAAGGGGCAUUCACAUCAAAAUCCACGCAAGGCAGCACAGGAAAAACAGCACUGCUUUGGCCCCCAAUCGUAUGCAGCAGAGCAUAUACUACAGGCAUGAGCAUCGCCCAACAGAGAGAUCCCAGUCCAACCUGCGUCCUCUGUUGCUGCCGUCUCAGCAACGAAACAAAGCGAAAAGGGAAGAACCUGAUGGACCUCGGAGAACCAGGCAUUGCCCAUCACAGCUGCGUUAUUUUUGCCUAACUCGCACAUGGAUAGAAUGAACAGGCCCCAUGGCAGUUUAAAACCCUC